UACCUGGUUGAUCCUGCCAGUAGUCAUAUGCUUGUCUCAAAGAUUAUUCCAUGCUUGUGUAAUUAUGAACUAAUUCAUACUGUGAAA
rnacentral:rRNA from 1 species